rnacentral:lncRNA from 10 species
UGAAGUUAAACUUUAGUCCUGCUACUACCAUGGGAUCGACCUCAUAUCACCCCUUUUUCAUCAUCUGACAAGGGUGGAGAUUGGAGCAAAAGCAAGGAAUCUCCUCACUACACUCCAUGCUUAGGUUUCUGUUGGACAAAGUGAGUUUUCUCUAGCAACUAAGCCUAAUUAGGGAUUAAAGUAGGGGCUAAACAAGUGAAAUAGUGGUAAGAAGCUCUCCUACACAUAUAUAUUUGAGUACUCUCUCCCCUUACUGAAAGAAAAUAACAAAAAAAAUACUGUUGCAAAUUAACAAAUUCAGAAAAUGCUAAUAUGAAAGAGAAUGCCAUAUUCUAAGAAAUUUUUUUACCAUAAUCCCAUAGGCAAUAUUAGUAUUUUAUUAAUAGGAUGUUAAUAGCCCAUUAACUCUAACAAGGUCCAGGUAUCAUGCAAAGUCCAGGUAUCAUGCCAGGUGUUUUAUUAUAGAGCAAACCCCUAUGUCCUGUAUUUCCCAAGAAAGUACUAGCUCACACCUGUUGUCCUGAUAUAAUUUUAAUAACAUCCCUGUUCACUCACAAAAGCAUACCAGUUUGAAUGACAACUUAUAUGGUUAUACUAUUUUUAUGUGACUGAUUACCCUUUAUCUUAAAGAGAACUGUGACAAAGACGCUAUUAUUAUGAUCCUCAUUGAGAAACUGAUUUACAUAAAGGUUAAAUAAUGUAUUUAAAGCCACACAGUUUUUAAGUGGCAGUAGCUGGAAGUCAAACCCAGACUGUCUGGCCGCAGAGCCUGAAAUGGUGGCUUCCCAACAUUUGUCCUGAAGCUGGGCCCAUGAUCGGGUAAAGGAAUUAUGUGAGUAUAUGAAGGGACAAGCUCUCAGAAGGCACUGAGAAGAAAGUGCAGAAUGGAGACAGAUCUCACCUGACUCUAGCAAAUGCCAAAAAGCAAGGAAAAAGACCCUUGAUCUCAUGCUACUACUAUGGUUCAGCUGCAAAGAGUGCACCUGUGAUACCAGCUCCUAGCAAUCCAACACCAAUAAUCUUGAUUCUGCAAAUUUUCACUUCCAAGAAGUUUACAAAACACAUCUGUAAUAUUUAAAGAAAGAAAAAAUAUUUCCUGGAACUUUCACCUUUAGUGAGUUAGAAGAAUGCCAUUUGAAGUAAAUAGAGAUUCAUUGUUUCUCUGUAUUUCUCAAAGAAUCAGUAGAGAUAUUGAGAGGAAAAAGUUCUUUCUCAUAUAAAUUUGGAAUAUUGGAAAGAAAUUACUGGAAGAAAAGAAAAUAUUAGAAACAUGGGUAGUGAUGAAGCAAAGAAUCUGAAAUGCUUCACUCAAAACCUCUUGAACUGUGGAAACGAUGGGGAAGAGAGUAUGUCAAAUGAGAUCCCGGGGAAGGAAUGCGAGCUUGAUAGCUUGACCAACAGCAACAAAAUGACCUGAGAACUUACUAGAAAUGCAAAUCCUUGGGCCUCACCUUAGACUGAAUCAGAAACUCUGGGAGUGGGGCCAGCAAUCUGUUUUGACAAGCCCUUUGGGUGAUUCAAUUGCUGAUUAAAGUGAGAAAAUCACCACUUGAGUGCAGCAAGGAGAGCAGUGUGUUGGGAUGACAUGGGAGGUUUAAAAAUCUGUCAAAUAACAACAACAAAAAAAAUUCUUGUCCCUGUCAUCAACUUCCAUGUCAUGAGGAUAAAAGGGAAGUUUGAAAAAUUAUUUGAGAAAAUAUGGUAAGACUGGCAGCAAAUUGUAACUUUAAAAAUUAGUAGGCACAUUAGGCAAGCUUCUACCACACCUCUUUCUUACCCAGAUUCACACACACAAACCAGGCUGUCCAAAGCACAGUCCUGCUUAAUUAGAUACUGAGGAGCCAAAACUUUUCCACCCCCUCCCCUCAGUCCCUAAGACACAACACAUCAGUUUCCAUGAUUGCUGUUCAGCAGAACCAGGCCAAUCUGGUUUUUUGCAGCUUGCCUAUUAAAAAGUGACUUUCACACCCUCCUGGGUUAUGUACCAAGACCUUUGCCCUUUUGUGGCUUAGCAGAAUGAUUUAUUUGUGUCAUUAGUCAAUCUAUUAUUUCAUCCAAAAUAUUUCCAUUACCUGAAAUAAACUGCAGUCCCAAUGAUGA